rnacentral:lncRNA from 1 species
GGUGGAAGACCAAUGGAUAAAUUUCCCAUUUUCUACUGUUUAGCUAUAAUAAUACAAUGUACAGUGGCUAAAUGUCAUACAAGGUGUGGAUGGCAGUUUUAUUUCAGCAUAAUUUGAAGAUUGGGAAUUAGAUGAAGUUAGUCAAUUUAUUAUAUCCUCUGGAACCUACAGGCCUUGACAUCAAUUGGUUGGAUUUUCAGAUUUAGUUAUCAGGGAAAAAUUGAAAAUAUUCAGUUAAAAUUUGUGUUGGUUGGAUUAAAGUUCUGGAUGACUGUUUAUCUAAAAAUAUGCUACAAGGGAAAGGCUUCUACCUUUGCAGCAGAUGCUUUUUUCUGUGAAAAGAAACAAGAUUCUGCAGCUCAUCUUCCCUUACACUGCAAACUAACAAAACUGGGUUGGUAUUUUAUUCUAAGCAUUGUCUGGGUGAACUUGGUGAUGUGACAGUGAGAUUUAAUGGAGAGCUGGAGUGUUACAAAGUGAGCAGAAGCUGGAAACCGAUCUGGAAGACCAUCUCUUUUGCAUCAUAUGGACUAUUUGGUCACAGUGGAGUAAGAGAUUCUUUUAAGAUCAAAAACAUCAAAUCUCUUUUGUAAAAGGUAGAGAUGCCUACAGAAUCUGUAUUUUUGGUGUAGUCGUAGCAUGAUGGAAAAUCCGUCCUAAUAUUUUGAAUUUUUUGAACAGCAAUGCUAUAAGUGUUUUUUUGUUUCUUCUUGUGCAGUACCUCCUUGAUACUCCAAUAAAAUUUAGCUUAUCUUAUAUUUAAGAAGGCCCCAACUUAUUUGGGACUGUGACAUAGUUGUUAGUGUUAGAGAUAGGGGGUUAGUUGUGCUAAUUCUUAAAUUGGUAAUCUUUUCACAUGGGACGACUAUCACACCUAUUUUGUAUUUAACACUUACAUAUAAGUAUGCCUUGUAUUCAUCAUAUGAAGACAUCAAUAUGUUGCUACUGUUUCUCUGUUGGUACUCUGUUUGGCUAAACUUCCAAAUUCUACGUAUUCUGAGAAGUGCUCUUUUUAAGAAGUGCUUUCCGAUAAAGUACUUUUGGAGAGUAGCAGUUUGUGUGUGACUAAUCAAUUUCAAAAGCACUUUUGUCAAUAUUAGAGCAAACUUUUUGCUUGGCCAAGGUCCUAAACCAAUUUUUGGGGAGAAGCUACUUUUCCCAGCUUCUGAAUAACAACUUCAGUUGCUACCUAAGUUGCUCGGACUCGGGUGCGGGUAUUUGAGACGGAUGCGAAUCCGAGAGUUGGAUUCGGCAAAAUUUAAAUUUUAAGAUUCGGGGGUGCGAAUCCGAGUAUGGAUACGGGUGCGGGGAUUCGGCUAAAAUUAUUCAAUAUUAUAAAAUAUAUUUAUAAUGGUAGUACAAUUCAUUAAAGUUCUGACGUGCUGCCAUAUCUAUAUAUAUAGCAUAUUAAAUUAGAUAGUAGUACAAUUCAUUAAAGUUCUGACGUGCUGCCAUAUCUAUAUAUAUAGCAUAUUAAAUUAGAUAGUAGUACAAUUCAUUAAAGUUCUGUGUGCUGCCCUUUCUUCUCCCAAGAAACCCUAGCCCUGCUUUUUUCCUUUCCAAGAAAAAAAGCUUUCUCUAGAAAAAAAACUUUGAAUUAUUUAUUCUUUCCCAUGGAGCCCCUUCGCCUCCUCUGUACAGAAAAAAGAUCUGUCUGCUCUCUCUCUAUUCGUGUAAGCUUCGCCUCUUCAUUAUUCUUUUCCAUGGAGCACCUAGACGUGACAACUUCGUCGUCGUCAACUUUCGCCGGCCACGAAAUUGAUCUCUUCCCCAUUUUUUUCUCGGCUUUGGUCAAAGUAUCCGGAUCGGAUCGAGACGGGUUCGGCCGCAAAAAUGAAGAGUCCGCGCAACAUAGGUUGCUACUCAAAAGAACUUAUGUUUUUCCUAAAAACUUGACCAAACACCUCAACUUUCUAAAAUAAGCACUUCUUCAAAACAAGAAAAAAGAAAAAAGGAAAAAGAAAAAUGAAAAAAAGAGAGACCUUUUAGCUCCCCAGAAGCUUGGCCAAACAAGCUAUUAAUCAUGACCAAUAAAGAAUGAGUUACAUACCUAACUAUUCUAUGCCUAGUGGCAGUUUCAAAUGCACCGGGCUUUCACAACUCUCAAAAAUGCUUUAGAAAACUUUGCUAGAAUUGCUGACAGGAGACACAUGGUUAAAAAGCUUCUACUGGCCCAAGAUGUGUCUAACUUCUAAAUUAGAUAGAACCAUUGUUCUUUUUCCUGGUGAGGAUGAGAUGAGUAAUUAAAGUCACCAUUGUCAUAUCUUGCUAUUCUGACAUGACACAAAGAAACUGUAAAGUAAUUUGCUGGGACAUCCAUAGAUGCCAAAAAAUUGUUGUCUACUUCAGCUAACUGGGGUUAUGAUAAAUGGAACUAAGAGGCACCCUUCAGGUGUCUGUUAUUAAUUCUGGUACAUCCUUAUGGAUUGAAUUGGUCUUUUCUGGUGGUUAUCCUUAAUUGUCUUAUCUCUCGAACUUAUUCGUUUGAGUUUGAUGGCUGCAUGGAAGCAAAAGAUAAUUUUGUUUAAUAUUUGUGGUUUUCAGUCUGCUAUAGCUCCACUUAUGGACUAGGGAGAUUCUCUUAGGUAUGAAAGCCUCGUGUC